UGCACACUGAUGGCUGUGUCUCUAUUUAUGUUCAUCAGACGGCUCAUGAUCCGGAAGAGGGCGUGGUUUGCAGCUUGUUGGGUGAACACAAAACCACAUUAGUUAACAUUCAGACCAGAGAAAAUGAUUUCAAGAAUGCAGAUUUUAUCUGAAAGGAUGAACAGUGAUUUUAGGAUAAUGAUGUUGCUCAUACAUGUCAGAUUCCCCAACAUUCAGCCAACAGGCAUGACAGAGAUACAAAAUACA